UACGUAGGGUGCAAGCGUUGUCCGGAAUUAUUGGGCGUAAAGAGCUCGUAGGCGGUCUGUCGCGUCGGAUGUGAAAAUCCAGGGCUCAACCCUGGACCUGCAUUCGAUACGGGCAGACUAGAGUUCGGUAGGGGAGACUGGAAUUCCUGGUGUAGCGGUGAAAUGCGCAGAUAUCAGGAGGAACACCGGUGGCGAAGGCGGGUCUCUGGGCCGAAACUGACGCUGAGGAGCGAAAGCGUGGGGAGCAAACAGGAUUAGAUACCCGACG
rnacentral:rRNA from 1 species